UACGGGAGGCAGCAGUGGGGAAUAUUGCACAAUGGGCGCAAGCCUGAUGCAGCCAUGCCGCGUGUAUGAAGAAGGCCUUCGGGUUGUAAAGUACUUUCAGUCGUGAGGAAGGUGUUAAGGUUAAUAACCUUAGCAAUUGACGUUAGCGACAGAAGAAGCACCGGCUAACUCCGUGCCAGCAGCCGCGGUAAUACGGAGGGUGCGAGCGUUAAUCGGAAUUACUGGGCGUAAAGGGCACGCAGGCGGUUAAUUAAGUUGGAUGUGAAAUCCCCGGGCUUAACCUGGGAAUGGCAUUCAAGACUGGUUAGCUAGAGUCUUGUAGAGGGGGUAGAAUUCCAUGUGUAGCGGUGAAAUGCAUAGAGAUGUGGAGGAAUACCGGUGGCGAAGGCGGCCCCUGGGACAAGACUGACGCUCAUGUGCGAAAGCGUGGGGAGCGAAACAGGAUUAGAUACC
rnacentral:rRNA from 1 species